GAGUUGAGAUGACCGAUUGUGGCUGCUUGCGAGUUUUGACCAGUCAAUUUUGUGGAUGAAAUGCCUUACAUUUUAAAAGACGACAAAUAUGAGACAAAGUACAAGACUGACUUAAAAGAGGGAACUCAAUUUACUAAGGGAAAGGUUUUGGUAACUCGAAGGAUAUGCAUCUUCAAAUGGACUCGACUAUCUUUAAAUUGUGUAUCCACUGUAUCACUAAUUUAUGUAACAUGAGACUUUGUAUUUUAUUUUAUUUGUACACUUGAUAUUUAUCUUAAUAGUUUUCUCCAACCCGGGUAGCACCCGGGUGAUAACCUA